rnacentral:rRNA from 1 species
GACGUAGGGCGCGAGCGUUGUCCGGAUUUAUUGGGCGUAAAGAGCUCGUAGGCGGCUUGUCGCGUCGACCGUGAAAACCCGCGGCUUAACUGCGGGCUUGCGGUUGAUACGGGCGGGCUAGAGUUCGGUAGGGGAGACUGGAAUUCCUGGUGUAGCGGUGAAAUGCGCAGAUAUCAGGAGGAACACCGGUGGCGAAGGCGGGUCUCUGGGCAACUACUGACGCUGAGGAGCGAAAGCGUGGGGAGCGAACAGG